rnacentral:rRNA from 1 species
UGUAAGCGUAUACCAAAGUUGUUGCAGUUAAAACGCUCGUAGUCGGAAUUUGGCAGUUCCGGAAGUGUGCACGUCGUGUGCGCACUUUGCGGGGACUGCUUUUGUGGUCUUGCGUAGGAUGAGGCACUUUCAUUAGUGAACGUCCUCACGCAACCACUCUUUACUGUGAGAAAAUCAGAGUGCUCAAAGCAGGCAUUUGCCGUGAAUGUAUUAGCAUGGAAUAAUAGAAUAGGACUCGGUUCUAUUUUGUUGGUUUGUUGGGACUGAGUAAUGAUUAAGAGGGACAGUUGGGGGCAUUUGUAUUCCGGCGCUAGAGGUGAAAUUCUUGGAUUGCCGGAAGACAAACUGCUGCGAAAGCGUCUGCCAAGGAUGUUUUCAUUGA